AGGAACUAAAAGAAAAGGAUCAAGACUUAUUAUAUACAGAAGUUAUUUCUUAUAUUAUACUCGAAGAAGUGGAAUAUAAACUAAGAGAUGCUAUCAGUAGUAAAGAGAAGGAAACAAUUGAAUUGAAGCAAGAACUAUCAAUGAUGAAAGUACUAGAGGAAGAAUUUUUAAGUGAUGUUGAAUCAAUUAAAGAAGUUGAGGAAGAACCACUUUAUGAAGAGUUGACUGUAUUGAGCUCUCAGUUUAAUGAGAUA